rnacentral:lncRNA from 1 species
GGCCUUGCUCUUAUGUCAUCUGACUAAAAGUUUCAUAGACCAAAGAUAACCAUCCAACCUGUUGGAAUACUGAAACAAUUGCUGCCUGCUUUCCACACACUACAUAAAAUAUGUGGAUAUCCUAAAUUCUACAAAAAAGAUUUGCAAGCAGAUCAAGCAAUACUGGGACUCCCUCUUCUCCAGAAGAGACAUCCUGGCCUCCAUGCAGAGGAAUGUGUGGAUGGACAUAUAUUUAAGGAAGACACUAAACCAGAAAAUACUACAUUACACCCUCUUAAAAGACUUCUAAGAUUGUUGUCAUGCCUACCACUGACAUUCAGAUGAUGUGUAUUCUUGAUUGUGAUUUCAUGUUUGGAGCUGAUGAAGGAGUUUGAAGUCUCCAGAGCAGCAAGGAGAUUGGGGAGUAGAACUCAUCAUCUUUAGGUCACUCAUCCCCG